rnacentral:rRNA from 1 species
GCACGCGAGCUGGGUUCAGAACGUCGUGAGACAGUUCGGUCCCUAUCCGCCGUGGGCGUAGGAAAUUUGAGAGGAGCUGUCCUUAGUACGAGAGGACCGGGAUGGACCAACCUCUGGUGCACCAGUUGUUCCGCCAGGAGCACAGCUGGGUAGCUAUGUUGGGAAGGGAUAAACGCUGAAAGCAUCUAAGCGUGAAGCCCACCUCAAGAUUAGAUUUCCCAUAGCGUAAGCUAGUAAGACCCCUGAAAGACUAUCAGGUUGAUAGGUUGGAGGUGUAAGUACAGUAAUGUAUUCAGCUGACCAAUACUAAUAGGUCGAGGGCUUGAUCAAAUA